rnacentral:rRNA from 1 species
AGAAUCAACGCUGGCGGCGUGCCUCAGACAUGCAAGUCGAACGCGAAAGUUCCCUUCGGGGGGCGAGUAGAGUGGCGCACGGGUGAGUAACACGUAGGUAAUCUACCUUCGGAUGGGGAAUAACAACCGGAAACGGUUGCUAAUACCGCAUAAUGCAGCGGCACCUAAUGGUGACAGUUGUUAAAGCGGGGGAUCGAAAGACCUCGCGUCUGAAGAGGAGCCUGCGGCGGAUUAGCUAGUUGGUAGGGUAACGGCCUACCAAGGCUACGAUCCGUAGCCGGCCUGAGAGGGCGGCCGGCCACGACUGACACGUGACAUACGGGUCAGACUCCGUACGGGAGGCAGCAGUACGGGUAAGUUUUGGGACGUAAGUGGGCGGAAGCC